GCAGCUUCCUUGCUUCCUCCCCCCCCAACCAAAAUAUCAUGGAAGUGGAAUGACUUUCCUGCAGUACGGAAAGUACCGCUCUAGAAAAUCUUUUUGGGUGAGUUUGAACACAAAUAUUGUAUAUGUUGAGCUAUAAACUCAUGGGCUACAUCUAGACUGGCAUGAUUUUCCGCAAAUGCUUUUAACGGAAAAGUUUUCCGUUAAAA